UACGAAGGGGGCGAGCGUUGUUCGGAAUUACUGGGCGUAAAGGGCGCGCAGGCGGCCUUAGAAGUCAGAUGUGAAAGCCCCGGGCUCAACCUGGGAAUGGCAUUUGAUACUCUGAGGCUGGAGUACGGGAGAGGAGAGUGGAAUUCCCAGUGUAGAGGUGAAAUUCGUAGAUAUUGGGAAGAACACCGGUGGCGAAGGCGGCUUCUUGGGCCCUACCUGACGCUGAGGCGCGAAAGCCAGGGGAGCGAACGGG
rnacentral:rRNA from 1 species